ACUGGCAGAGCAGGCCUUAGCACCAACCUGCUUACUCUUGAAUUCAAUAAGACUUCCCCUUUGGCAUUUUUACUUUUUUUUAACUUACAGCGCCGUUUUACUGAUGGUCAAAAGGUCACGAAAAUAUGAGCGUUUUCAGGGCCAGUGGAUUUGACUAAUGGAGUAUGCCAUGUACCAUGCUUCUAAGUUCAGAUGAAAACACUGUAGGUGCCCACUUAUUAUUGCAUCGUUGGCGAACUUCUGCUGCACUUUGGCCUGACCUAAAAGAAACAUAGUUAGGUAACUAGAGAAAUAGAAAAAACUCAUUCAAGGUCUAGGAAGGAUUCAUUUAUUGAUUUUUUUUCCUGUUCACACUAUGAAGCUAGGAGGAAAAAACACUGCUGAUUCUGGCUAAAAUCAUGGGACGGCUGGUACAUCUAAAGUCAUCGCAGGUCAUCAAAGCCCUCCAGGACCCUCCGGUACUUCCUCUCCCGGUACUUCCGGCGGAUGAAGGUGGCACGCUGCUCUGCCGAAGCGCCGCAGUGGAUUUCCUCCUCCAAGGGAAGGUUGGCGGCCCAGAAGUUAUUAGCAUUCUUGUUCCCCACUUCAAGGAAGAACUGAUGGGUUACAGAACAAAGAGAAGGGCAAAGAACAGAUGACGGUGUAAAACAACUUGAGAAUGUGUGUCGCUCUGACUUCUAAGAAAAACAGCAUACAGUAUGUACCUCCACCAGUGCAUUGCUCCAGAUACUGCUGUCCAACUUCAAGCUCCGCACUUUGGAAAUACUCGGCCCA